GAUGAACUCCCUAAUAGCAGGUGAGAGAUGGAUGGCCUCGCGGGCCCGGGAGGGGAUUGCAGGGGCUGGGAAGAUAAAUCCUGCUGCUGCAGAAGGGGAUUGCUGAGAUUGCUUUUUUAUUUUUUAUUUUUAAUGUGUUUUUUUUUCUUUUUUCUUCUUCUUCUAUUUUUUUUUUACUUUUUCACUAGAGAAGAAAGGGAAUCUUGCAUGCCUGGAUCACACCCCGAUGGUGCGUCCACCCUGGGCACUUGGCAAACAUCCUUUGGGGCUCUCAUCUGGAUGCCUCCAGGCAUUGUUCUCACCAACAAUGCUCAGCUCACUCUGGGCAGGACCCCAAAAAAAUGAUAUUUCCCCAUCCAUCACCACCAUCUGCCUCGCAGCCAAGGAUAAGCCCACGGCCCUCGUUUUUUGUUUUUUUUUUGGGAGGAUGAAACCUCCCAAAUCCCUUGGCUUUACGUUGAGAUCUUGAGUUUAUGUCGAGGGAAUGCAUCGAGUAUAGCCAAGGAGGGAUGAGGUCUUGUUCCAGCUCCUAUGGCUGUUCCCAGAGGGGCAGAGUUAAGGUUGUGGAGCGGGGCCAUAUGGGAAGUGUCAUCUUAACCCCAUGUUUCCUGGCCCGAGCUCCUCCGAGGUUGGGGAAUUCGGCUCUCACGCUCUGCAAGAGCGGCGUUGGACGCCCACAACCUAAAACCCGAUGUCGACAGCACGGCUUGCAUGCAAAGAGCUCGUCGGGCUCGUGCUGCAGAUGUUGUCCUGAUCCUUGAGAGGAGAACCAGAAGCAAAAACAGGUUGGUUUCGGUCAGCUGAAGGCGUGGUGCUCUCUGGUCCGGGUUUAGAUGUGCCUUUUUGGCCGCACGUCGCGGCAAGGGGAAAAGAAAUCCUCAUCGGGACUCCGUCCCUGAAGAAGAAAUCUGCAGCUACAAGCACGGCCGGCAGCGGCCCUGACUAGGCUGGGAGCCAGGAAUUUUUUUCUGAAUGUUUUCGAUCCCCCAAAGCGGUAUUUCCCUCGCUGCUGACAGCUCUGAAGUCCCUGGCUUCCAGCAGCCGGCUAGUGCUAUGUGCACAUCCCUUCACACGAUGUUCCUGCGCUUAUCUGAGUGCAAGAAUUACUCAGCCUCCUUCGGAAAUUGUUGCUCAGAACAGCUUUUUUAUUUUUGUUUUUGAUUUUUUUUCACCGUAGCAGCAAUGUUGGCUUUCCCCCUGAAGGCAGAGGCUGUGGCUACAACCCCGGUAACCCACGGAGGGGGAAAGGUGCAGCCAAGGAGGUGGCGAUUUUUGGAAUUUUUUUUUAAAAUUCCUGUGCUUUCAUCAGUGGUUGCAGCAAGGCACCAGAUUUCCUAUUUUUGCCUGAAAUUGGCUGUGAUACACACAUCACGCUGCCCAUGGAGAACCAGCCCAAGCACCCUUGCAAAUAAAGGUUCCCACGAGCUGCCCUGCAAGUAAAACCCCAAAACGCCUCUCCAGGUGAUGCUGUGCCAUGCCCUGGAGCCUGUGCUCCAUCGCUCGCUAUCUGCGAGCCAUCAUUUCUUCUGGGGACCACGCUUGGGCUGUGCCACCCCUCCACGAUGGCAAACCACGAAGCUUCGGACCGUGCUGCUGAAUCCUUGCCAGCCACAACUGGUGGCGAGGGUUAUUUUGUAAUUUGGGGAGGGAAUAGAGGAACCCGCUAGAAAUAAUCCCUAGGAGAGCGCGGAGGCGUCCUCGUGCGCUACACUUCCCCCCAGUAUUUGGAGCAGCUCCAUUAGGAAAAAAAAAUAAAAAAAAAAUAAAAAAAGGGGGACAAAACCCCCAUGGGGAUCCGCCUGCGCCUCCACUCUUGCUGCCAGCUCACUGCUAGAAAAAAAAAUAAUAAAGAAAAAACAAAGAAGAAGACAAACAACCCUACCAAAACAAGCCCUCCGCGUGCUUCUCCUGGCAGGGACAGAGCAAACAACACGGCCCGGGGAUGAGUCACUGCCAGGACGCCCUGGGAUGCUGCGAGGAUGAGCGCGGGGAAUGUUUAUUUCCCCAGCUCUCGGAGCCGGAUGGCAUUCGAAAAAAGGCAUCGUUGGGCUGAGGACAUGUGCAGAGGCACCGGCUAAAGGUUUUCUCCAGCGACUCUCCCUGGAAGUCACCGUGGAAGACCCCAAACUCCCUUUCUCAUCGACGCAGCUUUCAAUUUCAGAACCAGCGCCUCCGCAAAGGUGUUGUGGGGCAUUUUUCUCAUUUAAGGGCUACAGACGUGCCCUGUCUACAUGCCAGGCUCAGCUAAAGAAAUCCUAAAGGCGAAUCCAUCCCUGAGAUGUUGAGGGUCAAACGCAGGGAACAAAAUCUCUGCAAGCACUGGGAGGACUGCACAACGCGAGCUCUGCGACACCGAUGCUCCAGCAAAGAAAAAAAAAGCAAAGAGCCACAAAAGCCAUCCUGGAUUUCUGUAUCCCUCAUUAAAAACCCGAGCCCAGCCCAUUUUGCAGUCUAUUAACAGUGCUCAGUGGAGGCAGAGAAAGAAAAGGUCCCUUCCUGGGAGCAGCUCGCCUUGCCAUCGGGUUAGAGAUGCCCGUGACCCGCCAAGCUUCAUGCAUAAAGAAAUCACGAGUUCAGCCGCAGAAAAGGCUUCAGUAGCAGCUAAAACCUGCACGUUUCCCUCUCCCUCUUCUUUUUAAGAUGUAACGAUUGGGAAAAAAGACUUAAAAUUUAUUCCCCACACAUCGCCAUAAUCAAAUAAGAUGCUAAUGCUAUUAGCAUGGGACCUUGCAUCGCAAAUGACUUCGAAUCAUAUUCCCUUUCCAAGUGCCAGGGUUUCAUUUAAAUCGGUCUCCACAGCAACUGGAAGCAAAAUGCGGGAUGGAAAUCUUCCUGGCUGGGCGUGUGAGUGAGGAAUUUCACGGCGGAGCCAUGGUCGGUGGGCUCGUGCCAGCCAUCUUCCACCCAACCGGUUAUCAGCUUCUCGCAGAUAACCAGGGCCAGGAGCAGAGGGAACGGCCUCGAGUUGUGCCAGGGAAGGCUCAGGUUGGAAAUGAGGAGACAUUUCUGCUCAGCAAGAGCGGUCAGGCCUUGGGAUGGGUUGCCCAGGGAGGUGGGGGAGUCCCCGUCCCUGGGGGUGUUCAAGGAGAGGUUGGACGUGGUGCUUGGGGACAGGGCUUCGUGGUGACAUUGGUGGUAGGGGGUGGUUGGAGCAGGUGAUCCUGGAGGAUCUAGGAUGGGGAGAACCUGCAGCAUCCCCUGGCCAGUGCCCACCAGAUGAUUUCAUGGUUUCAUCCCACAGAAAACGCUUCCCAAAACCAUUUGAAAAUGAGCUAAGCUUCAUCAUGCUGUGGUUGGGAAGCCACUGGAUAGAAACCGGCUCUCCUUUCCCAUCAAAACAUUGUCCCAGCCACUCCACUCGUCUUCCCUGCACUUGUUUCGCUCUUUGGUCAUCAUUACAUCAACGGGCACGGGGUGAGGAUCCUCAUCCUGGUUGGGGCUUCUCAGUUUUUCCCCUAAUAAAAUGAACAUCAGCAACAUGGCCCACAAAAAACGUCUUUGAGAGCAAUGUCAGCAAGUGGGAGGCGCCUCGCUCGAGAGCGGCUGAAAGUUCACGCAAUGAAAAAAUAAAAAUAAAAAAAAAACACAACCAGCCCCGACCAGCCUCUGGGCUCUGUUAGUAAUUAUCUGGGCUCCGGUGGGUGUUAAAACAUCUGUACUGGUUUGGCAGGGAGCGGGGAGCGCGGCUCGUGCCAAAAGGCAAGGGCUGGCGUGGGCUGAAAGCAGCGCGGCGAUGCUUGAGCGCGGUCUUCGUGCUGAGAAACGCGGGGCUGGCAGCUUCUCCUUGCGAGUGCUUUGGGGUUGGGGUCAUCCCCAUCCCCGUCCCUAUCUCCAUCCCCACUGGGACAGUCCUGAAGAGGAGCUGAAGGUCCUUAAAGCAGCCCCAAAUCCUGCUGGGUUUCACGUCCCCCUGGGCUUCGCCAGCAGUUCAUCUCCACGUCGCGCUUUCCCUGCUCUUAUUUCUAGGGAGAAAUGUUUCCACGUGGACGCCCCCCAUCUGGCCGUGGGCCAGCAGCUCUCUCCCCCCUGGAUAUUGCAGCACCAAGCAGCUCCCGGCAUGGCUGCUGGUGCUUGAACCUUGCGCACUGAAGCUCGGGCUCCUUUGGGGGUUGUUUUUAACGCGGAGCAGCAGCGGGGCUGGAUUUAGCGGGGUAGCAGAGCGUAGCGAGGAGCUUGGCCCUCAGCAGCAUCUGUCACGAUCGCCCCGCGAGGAAUAUUUUUGGGCUUUGGCAUUCCUCGUGCCCUGACUCAGGAGCAAAACAUCCUCCAGCAUCUAAGGACUGGAGCAAAUUCUCUCUCCCCUGAUGCUCCCUCACGGGAUGGGAACGAUCCCAAGCACUCUCCCUGUGCAGCGUCUCCUCUCCCUCCUCUUCAUCCCCCAGACACAGCUCGCAAAACUCUGUGAGCCCAUCCCCAACAGCCAGGAGAGCCAGAUUACAUUAGCACCCUCGAGGCUGUGCCCGUCUCCUCGUGCUCACCACAGAUGGCAGCAGCACCCAGACCAAAAUCCCGAGCCUCCUGCCCGGCGCAUCUCUUCCCGCUUGGCUUAGGACCAGCUGAGAAAUCUUCUGACAUCCUCCAGCUGCAACGUGCCACUCGAUCAAAAGGGAGCUUGCCAAGGCAGUCAUCCGGCAGCCAGAAACCAUGAGAAACCUUCAGAGGGGAUAAGGGAAUUUGAAGUGGAGGGGGAGAAGGUCAAGGUGCUUCGAUUCCUUCUCCUCGGAUCACUUUUUAGGGGGGGUGGAUGGCGGUGUUUUGGCUGAAAAUCCUCAGGAUGCGCUUUCAUGAUUUUUUUUUCUUUUCGAAAUUCAUUCCAACUUGGAAUCAAAAUGCAUGAAUCAAACCGAGGCUGAGGAUGGAUGGAAAUGAAUUCCAAGGAAGAAGAGCACACUGAAUUUUUACCACCACUUGCCGCUCGGAGCUGAGCCUCCGUAUGUGCCUUCGGCGAGCUCCUUUCUUACAGGAAUGGGAUUUGUCGUAUUUUAAUUCCUAAUUAAAUUCCAAUCUCUAAUCACCUACGUAAACCAUGCCCUAACAAGGCUGCUGAAGAGGUUCUGGGUCAGAUCCAGUACCCGGUGCCCCCUUAUCUGUGUCGCGGAGUCCUUCACCUAUGAGAUGAAAUAGGGCUUGGCAGCAAAUGUGCAGGGCAGUGAUCACAGCAAUGCAGGAAUUACCAGGAGCAGAUGAGAGAAGCCAGCCUGCUCCAGCUUUCCACUUCCAAAAGGUCCAGAGAAAGCUGGGAACUUCACAGGGAUCGCUCCUGCAGCAAUGGGAAAAAACUGAUUUAUGCCUCACUUCCCCGUUUCCAGCACUUCUCAAUGCAAAUAUUUUCACCCCACUGAUACAACCAUGGGCAUCCCUGUGCCAGUGGAAGUUUGGGAAGGAGGAGAAGCCAUCGGAAUACAGGACAUUGGGACUGAGACAUUAAAAAAAAUAAUGUAAUGACUUUUAAAAAUACACCGGAGAGCUCUCCAGGAAAAAGUCUUCUCCACCAAGAAUUUCAGGAGACAAUCCCCUGGCAGAUAAGGAGGUGGCCUGUGACCAGGUUUUGACCCGACCACUAAUUGCCAGAAGCAACCAUCAGCUAGCAAAAAAAAAGGCUCAUCAUGGAUUUUUAUGGAUUUCAAGUGGGUAUUUGAAAGGCUCCAUCAUGACUCAUUGGAGAGCAAUUCGAGCUGUUAGGGCCAGCCAGCCAAAAUAAUUAACCAGCGUCAAGGCCUGCUGUCAAGGUUGAGCCUGCACGGAGGGUACGCGAGCUUCGGGGAAUGAUUUUCCCAGAUAAAAAAUAGCAAAUGCAGGGAGCCACUCUAGCCCAGCUUACUCUCAAGGCAAGCAGCAGCUGCAUUGGCCAGGAGAGGACUUGGUCAUGGGCAGCGUGAGGAAAUCUUGUAGGUGAGAUGCUGUUUGGCAUCCUAAUAAACAGCUACAAAGGGUGGGACUCCAAUGGGGCCGUGCCCCUUCCCACCUUGGAGGGGAUGCUACCAGGGAACUGGUGCUCCAGUUUUACCUGCUGGGAUUGCCGGGGUGCCUCUGCUCCUCAGCGUGCUCUGAGGUCUGGUAUUUCCCUACAGGGUCACACCAUGAAAAUUACAGAAGCACAGAAGAUUUGGGGUGGGGACGGACCUUUGGGGAUGGUCUAGGCCAACCUCCUGCUCCAGGCUGUGUCCUGUUGGGUUUUGAGUAGCUCCAAGGGCAGAGACUCCACAGCCCCCAGUGUUUGAGUGCCCUCACGCUAAAAAGUGUAUUUUUUUUUCUUUAUUAUUAUUUUAUUUUCAGGAGCUGUGGCCAAGGGUCCCUUUUAAAACCACUUCUAGCUUGGAGAGGACAGAAACCAUCACCGCGCCACCUCCAUCAGCAAAAGGCAGAAGUUUGGUCCUCUGUGAAGACUCCGAGAGAUGUCCUCAGCCUUCCUGCAGGGAGCUAGGAUUUGGCCAGGGCACCCAAAGGGAGUUUUCACGUGCUCCUGUAUCCCCCAGAUCAGGUGAAACCCUCCGGUCCAAAUAAUAAAUCCCCUUUGCUGGAGCUCGGACAAUGCAGCGCACUAAAUAAUGCAGCAGCGUGCUGGAGAAGCAGGCAGCAAUUAUAAGCAAAGCACAGAAGCCAUCUAGGGAAGAAGUGUUAUCUUUGCAGAUAAAAUCAGUAAUAAAUGCUACUGCAUUCAUAAAUAAAAAUCAGUCUGGAAACAAA